GACAAAAUGACCGAAGAAGUACAUUGAUCUAAUGUAUAGACAAAGUCACGAAAUACAAAACGUCAUUCAUAGUGCAGAUAUCGAUGAUGCAUUGACCGUCUAACGCUAAAUCUCGGGUCUUUAAUGUGCACUCAUAAAACGAUUACACGAUAUAAUUACAAAUGACGAAGCUCCUACCUCCAAAAGAUAAUGCCAUACUCCAGUCGCAGCAACAUGAAAGAAAGCCCAGAACGAAUGCCGUGCCUAAGAUAGAGAAGAUAUAUGUAAUGAUAAUACUCCAAUGAUCUGGAUUUAGUUAAAAGUCGAUUGAAAAAAAUACAAUGGCAGAUAUCUCAACAAACCUAUGCAAGUGUAAACUGAGAGAAGAGAUCCUCCCAAAACAUAUAGUCCUAAAUAUGUAAUGGCCUUGAAGAUUUUCAUUGCAACUGUUAUCUACAAGUACAAAAAUAAGAAGAGUUUUACUUGCAAUACUUGGCAAGCUGUGUACAGUUCCAAGUUUACAUACCACAGUUGAGGAAACUUGGUUUACCCUGUAACAUUUUGUCUAUAGCCACCAUAAUCAGUAAUUUGGUGAUAAAUGUGAUUCACAGAAAGCCAAGUCAUAGUGAGAAUAAAUGUGUACCUUCAGGUAUUCUAAUCAAUAAUUAACUGUAAGAAACAUGCAUUUGCAAGAACAGCAAAAGGUGAUAUUUAUUAGGCAGCAACCUUACUUAAUAGAGCUAAUAGUUGUAAAAAUUACACUAACAAGGCCAUCGGCAAACUGCUGAUGUUCAUUUAUAAACAUUUAUAGAUUAGGACUUUGACAUAAUAAUUAUGUCAGUAUUAUGUCACAUAUCACUUGAAAGCGUCUAGUUAUUGUGUUUUGUCGAACAUUAGAACGUAGUUUGGAUA